CCAGAUGUGCUUGCUCCUGUACUUCAUAACAUUGGGACUAUAGCUAGACAAUAUAAUCACCAGAGCCAAGUAUGUAAUCAUAUUCCACCUACGUUGCCACCUUGUGGAGUUAUCCUUUAUCAAGUUAAAAAAACUGUCAAAAUCUAUGUUUAUCAUAAUGUUUAUAUCACUAUACCGCUUUUAGUAGAGAGGAUGGAGUGCUUGCUUUGUUAU